CGAAGGGGGCUAGCGUUGCUCGGAAUUACUGGGCGUAAAGGGAGCGUAGGCGGGUUAUCAAGUUGGAGGUGAAAGCCCGGGGCUCAACCUUGGAAUUGCCUUCAAAACUGAUAACCUAGAGGAUGAUAGAGGUAAGUGGAACUCCGAGUGUAGAGGUGAAAUUCGUAGAUAUUCGGAAGAACACCAGUGGCGAAGGCGACUUACUGGAUCAUUACUGACGCUGAGGCUCGAAAGCGUGGGGAGCAAACAGGAUUAGAUACCCUGGUAGUCCACGCCGUAAACGAUGAUUGCUAGUUGUCAGCCGGCAUGCCGGUUGGUGACGCAGCUAACGCAUUAAGCAAUCCGCCUGGGGAGUACGGUCGCAAGAUUA
rnacentral:rRNA from 1 species